UACAGAGGUCCCAAGCGUUGUUCGGAUUCACUGGGCGUAAAGGGUGCGUAGGCGGUUGGGUAAGUCUGUCGUGAAAUCUCCGAGCCUAACUCGGAAACUGCGUCGGAUACUAUUCAACUCGAGGAAUGGAGGGGAGACUGGAAUUCUCGGUGUAGCAGUGAAAUGCGUAGAUAUCGAGAGGAACACCAGUGGCGAAGGCGAGUCUCUGGACAUUUCCUGACGCUGAGGCACGAAAGCCAGGGGAGCAGACGGG
rnacentral:rRNA from 1 species